rnacentral:lncRNA from 12 species
GAGGAAACAGACUUUGUGAAGAAACACAGCCCUCUGCUGGAAGAAAAGCUGAAUCCAAGGACAAAGCUGUGGAGGAUGUAUGAAAAGAUAUAUUUCCAUCUGGGGUUGAUGACCAGACAUACUUCAGCAGGUACCACCUGGUUAUUAAGAGCAAGACAAGACAAAGACAGACAUGCACAACAGGGAUAAGGUGGAGCAUGGAAAUGCUCCAUUAGGUGACCACCUAAAGGUGAGCCAAAUUAAUUUUAGCAAAAAGUUG